CCUUCGGAGACCUUGCAUGAGAAUCGGCUACCACAUCCAAGGAAGGCACCAUGCGCGCAAAUUACCCAAUCCCGACACGGGGAGGUAGUGACAAUAUGUAACAAUAUACGGCUUUAUUGUCGUAUAAUUGGAAUGAGUACAAUUUAAAUCCCUUAACGAGGAACAAUUGCAGGGCAAGUCUGGUGCCAGCAGCCGCGGUAAUUCCAGCUCCAAUAGCGUAUAUUAAAGUUGUUGCACUUAACAAGCUCGUAGUUGGACCUUGGGCCUGGACAGGCUGCCCGCCUCACGGCGUGUACUGUCUUGCUGGGGCUUU
rnacentral:rRNA from 1 species